rnacentral:rRNA from 1 species
AACGAACGCUGGCGGCGCGUCUUAAGCAUGCAAGUCGAACGGCAAGAGAGGAGCUUGCUUCUCUCCUAGAGUGGCGGACUGGUGAGGAACACGUGGGUAAUCUACCCUUAAGAUGGGGAUAGCUGCUAGAAAUAGCAGGUAAUACCGAAUACACUCGGCAUAUCACAAGAGAUGUUGAGGAAAGGAAGCUACGGCUUCGCUUGAGGAUGAGCUUGCGUCCCAUUAGCUAGUUGGUGAGGUAAAGGCCCACCAAGGCGACGAUGGGUAUCCGGCCUGAGAGGGUGAACGGACACAUUGGGACUGAGAUACGGCCCAAACUCCUACGGGAGGCAGCAGUGGGGAAUAUUGCACAAUGGGCGAAAGCCUGAUGCAGCGACGCCGCGUGAGGGAUGGAGGCCUUCGGGUUGUAAACCUCUUUCGCUCAUGGUCAAGCCGCAACUGUGGGUUGUGGUGAGGGUAGUGGGUAAAGAAGCGCCGGCUAACUACGUGCCAGCAGCCGCGGUAAUACGUAGGGCGCGAGCGUUGUCCGGAAUUAUUGGGCGUAAAGGGCUUGUAGGCGGUUGGUCGCGUCUGCCGUGAAAUCCUCUGGCUUAACUGGGGGCGUGCGGUGGGUACGGGCUGACUUGAGUGCGGUAGGGGAGACUGGAACUCCUGGUGUAGCGGUGGAAUGCGCAGAUAUCAGGAAGAACACCGGUGGCGAAGGCGGGUCUCUGGGCCGUUACUGACGCUGAGGAGCGAAAGCGUGGGGAGCGAACAGG